ensembl:lncRNA
AUGCACUCCCGGCGUGGACGGCGCCAUCGACUGUCACCAGGGCCAGUGCCUCGUGCAGAGGAGCGGUCCUGCUUGCCGCUGCUUCUCCACGGACACGCACUGGUUCUCGGGCCCGCGCUGCGAGGUGGCCGUCGCCUGGAGGGCAGUGGUCGGCGGCAUGGUGGGGGUCGUGGUUCUGCCGCUGCUGCUGCUGGCGUCCCUGAGCCUCUUUGUUGCCCGCUCCCGCUCCCGGAGAGGUGGCCAAGGUGGNAGACACGCACUGGUUCUCGGCCCGCGCUGCGAGGUGGCCGUCGCCUGGAGGGCAGUGGUCGGCGGCAUGGUGGGGGUCGUGGUUCUGCCGCUGCUGCUGCUGGCGUCCCUGAGCCUCUUUGUUGCCCGCUCCCGCUCCCGGAGAGGUGGCCAAGGUGGAGGCCGGUGAGAGCGCUGGGGGUGGGGGUGAGGGUGGCAAAGGGGUCCCAGCUGGGGCGGCCCUGCUCUGACGGUGCGGUGCGUCGCCCGGCCUCAGGUCCUGGGACGAUGACAGGAGAUGGUUCGAGAUCUGGGAUGAGGAAACUGUGGGAACUUUUUCAAACUUGGGCUUGGAGGACGACUGAACGGUCAAGGAUGAACACUUCCAGGUGGCCUUGGAGAAUGCGGACACCAGUGUGAGGGUGCAUCUCCAGAGACUGGAGGUUGGCCUCGUCCUUACUGUGAGCCCCGCACGUCCCCCUCCACCCUGCCCCAGACAGUGAGAAGAAACCGUCCGAACCGCAUCCAUCUCAGGGUACGGCCCACGGACUUGCGCAGCUCUCGCCUGGGUUCCUUGAGCAAACUCAGACCGUUUCCCUGACCCUCAUCCUUCUCCCGACUUGGGAGAAACUCACCUGGAGACCCAGUUCAAAUCCAGGCUCUUGCACUGUGGGACCUUGGCCGAGUCAGUAACUUCUCUGAGCCUGUCAGAGGAGUAGAGCAUACUUGUCCUGAUACCUCGUAGGGUUACUGUGAAAACCAGACAUGCCGUCAGAUCUCCGUCCCAAGGCACCUUCCCAUGUCAGCCCUCAUGCUUAUGUGGUCUCUCGGGGAUCCCCACAUCCUUCAGGGGUCUCGGACCUCAGUCUGUUCUCCUGUGUGCAUCCCUACACUGUUCCCCACCUGCACCUGUGCCCAUCCUCCUACCUGCUCCAUAUGGAACUCCUUGUGGCACCCCUUGCUCCCACCCUUAAGUCUCCCCGUAUGAACCCACCUCUUAAACGACUCCCCAGCCCAGCGCCCAGCCCCAGGUCUCCCCCAGUUUGUCACUUUCCCCAUCCUUACAAUCUCAGCCCUAAAUUCUUACCGCCCCCCCAAUCCCAGGCCCCAGUCUUAAAUCCUCCCUCCUCCCUCCAUACCCCAUUCCGAGCCAGGUGUGGGUGUCCUCUGCCUCUCAGGCCCCCCGGCUGGUACUUCCCAGGCCCUGGUCCCCCAUUCUGAGGCUCCAUUCCUUCUUCUCGAUCCCAAAGUCCCAGGAUCCCGGUUUUCCGAGGCCUCAAGGAGGAGCAGAAGCCGGGCCCUGAGAUGGAGAAGCUCCGUCGGCCCUUUGUCCUCAUUCCCCUCUCUUCCCAUCCCCUACUACCUCACCCUCCCCGCCCUUCCCCACCCUUCCCUGUCUGGCCUCACGCCCAUCCCCACAGU